rnacentral:lncRNA from 1 species
GUCAUAACGGCGACCGUGAAGACUUUUAAAAUAGAGACCAACGUGGCCGGGCAGGAAGAGCAGGGUCCCGCCUUCAGGUGUUUGGGACUCAGCUGAGGGUGUGGGUGCCCCGCGGUGGGGGCUGAACCUUCCUGGGGUGUGGAGAGACGAAAGGAGCCCAGAUCCAAGUUCCCUCGUUCCCGCUUUGGCAUAAGUUGCCCUGGCGGUCUCAUGAGAGAGAGAAAGAGCUGGGACCCUCCUCGCCCCAGUGAGUGUGAUGUCUUGCUCCGGGUGUCCUGGGGCAACUUUCUAUACAGGCGGGACGUGGGAGGAUCAGACAGUGUAACAUCAGACAAGGGUGUUGACUCUGCAGCACAGAACCAGUAGUUUGUGGAGAAGAAUGGAGGUGUGGUGUUGAAUCUGCUAGACAGGCUACUGAAGCAAAAGUCAAGAGAUCCAGAUUCCAUCAUGGGGACACUUUAGUUCUUCAUCGGGUAAUUGAGCUGAUAUCAGGUGUCUGAAGGAGGCAAGUUUUGAAGAUGUGGGUCAUGAUGGCUGCUGAAGCUUCCACUCCAUAUUUGAAGGUCAGCAGUUCUCAGGAAACCUCUAGCACUUCCAUCCCUGGUGGGAUGUGAUGCCUGUCUCAGUGUAACAUCAGAGAAGGGGUGUACUCUGUGCCCUAGAACUAGGAGCUAACAGAGAAAAACCAAAUGUGAUGUGGAGUCUGCUAGACAGGCUACUGGAGCAAGAGUGAAGCGAUGAAAGUCUCAUCAUUGGGACAUAUUAGAAAAAAUGAUGGAUACAGAAGGAUAGCUGGAUGUAAGUGAAAAGUUCCAGAAAACCAUGUCUGAUCCCAUUAAUCAAGCUCCCAACUUUCAUCCCUCCCUGCCCGCUGCUGAGUCCCCUGGUCUACACUCAGAGUUGCAAUCCUGACUCUGGCCACCAAGAGGCAUUACAGCUAUCUCCACGUUCCUUGCUCUUUCUUAAUGAAAAGGGGUAAAUUUCGCAGAAAUUCCAUCCUAUGGAUAUGACAUCAGUUUUCUCAAACCUGUGUUAGUCAGAGUGUUCUGAUAUUCCCUGUUAUCUACACUGUGUGGAAGACAUCUUUUCAGAGUCUGUGCAUGGCUGAAGGGCACAGUUCCUGUAGCUGUUUACACUGGCCCAGAAAUAAAGGAAGGGAAUUUUCAGAAUGACAGUACUUAUAACCAGAUGCUUAUCAGCAUCCUUCACAAUGUCCUGAAGAUAAACUUCUAAAAGAUUCCUCAGGUGGAGUCACAGGAGAAAAUCCCAAGAGGAGUAAAAAAUAAUAAUGCUGAUGUCAUGUUAGAGUGGAGGCCCUGGAUGCUGUUGUGGACCCACUCUCCAGUUUCUUCCACAGUUAGAAGAUGUGGAAGUGAUCAGACAAUGAAAUUCGCAGUUUUAAGGAUACAACUUGAUGAUUUUCAGUAAACAAAAGUUGUGCAACCAUCACCGUAGUUGAGUUUUGGAGGUUUCCAUCACUAUAAAAUGUCCCAUCAUACUUGAACGCAGUUAAUCCCUGCUUUCACCCCCAGCUCCAGGAAUCACAGCGCAGAGCUUUUAUGCAGAUGACUGAACCCGUGGAGUUAGGUGGCUGAGAGGAUGCAGCUUCCCAGGUCUCUACAACUGAUGGCAGCAAGAUGGGAGCACCCAGCUACAGUGUUCAGAAGUAGAUUUAGGCAGACUACCACACCUUACAUGCUAGAGGGAUCCACACUGACCUGAGUAGAGCAGGAUAUUGAUGUACAACAAGAUUCUCUGAUCAGAAAGAGAGGCAGAACUAGCAGCCUGGCUUCAGAGGUGAAGAUACAGAUGUCAGUAGUGACCCAGUGUGACAUGCAUAAAGGAAUUUCUUAUUGAGCCCCAGGAAGAAGAAACACUACAUAAGAGCAAAUAAUAAAAUCGGUCAGAUAGACAGAAGAUGGGAGUCAUCAAACCUGUAUCCCUCUUGCCAGACCUAUCAACUGACCAUACGUCAUUCAGGAGGCAGCAGGUGGCUGAAAUCCUGGUGUGAUGUGGCUGGAUCAUGCAUGAUCUGAGGACUCCUGCACAGGUGACUGCAGGAUGAGUACAGAAUUUUUCUAUAAAUAUACUAAAAUACCAAGUAAGCCAGGAGCAGCCACUAGGCAAACACCAAACCUUGCAUUCCUGGCCAAACCUAUCACAGAGCUCAUCAGAUGCAGUGGAUCCCCAGGUUGCAAGUCAUAUAACCUGAGCAUGCCCAGAUGAACCAAGUAUGCCUGAUUGGUGAACCUGGAACUGGCCAGAACAGAAAAUGUCAACCACAUGUGGAAUCUAAGUAUUCAGAUUGAGAAAUGAGGACCAAAAUGAGAACACUGAGCUCCUCACACAGGUGACUGAACCCGUGGUUUUGGUGUCUGAGAAGAUGCAGCUUCUCCAGUCUCUGCAACUGACGGCAGGAAGAUGGGAGCACUCAGCUUCAGUGUUCAGAAGCAGAUUUAGGCCAAUUGCCAUACCUUACGUUCUGGAGGGAUCCACCCUGACCUGAGCAGGGCACAAUUAUUUUAUCUUGGAACCAACAAUCUUCGGAGAAUGUAUCCCAAAGAUACAAUUCAAAAAGAUAAAAAGGCAGAAGCACAAGGUCAUUCUUGGCAGAACAAAUUGUAACAGCAGAAGACUGGAAAUAAGACAGAUGUCCACCAAUAAAGGACUGACUGAAUAAUCUAAGGUGCAUCUACAUCCUAGAUUUCAAUGCCGGUAUAACAAGCAAGGAAGAUUCCCUCUCUCUGCUGCUAUGUAGUGAUUUCCAGGAUAUACCAUUAAGUGAAUAAAGCAAAGUGCAGAAAAAUGUGUAGAGCUGCUGUUGUCCCAUACCAUACCCACUGGCCACUCAUGGCUAUUUAAGUUAACUAAAUUUAAAUGGAAUUUUAAAUUCACUUCCUCAGUCACACUCACCACAUUUUAGGUGUUUAAUAGUCACAGGUAGCUAGUGGCUACUAUGUUGGACAGUUGAGACAUAGAAUAUUUUCACCUUUGUAGAAAUUCUAUUGGACUCCACCAGUGUAGAAUAUGUCACCUUAUAUAUAUGGAAUAGGAGAAAACUAAUAGAAACAUUCUAUUUGCUUAUAUUUUUAAAAUUGGAAAGUUUUAAUGAAAAUUGAUUUAAAAAAUCAUUACCUAUAAAGAGAAGGAAAAACAGCCCAGGACAGAAGCCAAUAAUGUCUUUUCCCUUAAAAAUAUAAUAUAUAUACACUGGCUCCAUGCACUAGAAAGGUGAAGAAACAUGAUAGACCCAGUAGCAAUGAGCAACUCUAGUGCCCAUAUUGAAUCCACUUAAAACACAUCACACUGAAAGGAACUAGGUUAUCUUAGAGAAAUGACUGAGUUUAGGUCUGUGUAGCCAUUCUACUAGAUGAAUCUGGACCAAACUAUCAUGCCAGAGAGUGCGUCAAAAAGACUCAGAAGCCAAGCUUAAGGGGCUCUCGCUGGACAAAGAUGAAGCAAUUUGAACAUUAAAUAAAAUAAUGACUACUAUGGAUUAAAACACAUUAUAAUAUAAAAACUUCUACAGCUCAUGAUGACACUCUAAAAGAAAAAUAAAAUAAAACAAACAAUAUCAACUCAUUGCUUGCCUUUGGAGAACCCUAGGGAAACAACUCAUUGUUUUGAAAAGUGGAAAUAUUGCAAAAGAAUUAGGCACUCAUCCAACCCUUUCUAUACAUACUAUCCCUCAGUGUAACCUAAUGGUUUAUGAAAGUUUAUUUAAUAGAAUAAUUCCAGCUAAUAAAGCAGAGAAAAUUAUAGAAUUAGAAUAUCAUCCUUUUAUGACCUUUAAUGAAUAUAGAACUAAGCAACAAUCCUUAGACGCUGCAGAAAAAUCGAGGUGAAAAAGGGAUGGGAAAUUUUAUAAUGGAUGGAUCAGCUUAACAAUACUUGAACAUAGUAAUUAAUCUUAACAUCACAAGAGGAGAGACAAUUAGACACAAUGAGCCCCCUGUGUAACACUAUAGGAAUAAACAAUACCACAUAUGAAGUACUUCUGACCAAAACAAAUCUAAAUUGAAUCAAGCCUCUGAAUCUAACACCAUUUUGUUAAAUUUUUUUAUUAUACUUUUAAGUUCUGGGAUACAUGUGGAGAAUGUACAGG